ACCGGGAAAGGGAAUAACACUUGAAAUGUAUAUAAGAAAUACUCAAGUUAAUAAAAAAAAAAAAAAGAAAGCAUUCCCAAGUACCCUGGUGGGUACCCUGAACUAGGAAUUUCUUUUUGCUAAGUCUCUCACCCAGUACCUGGUAUGCAGCAUGCUCUGUGAGGCAGACACACCAGUCAAACUGCCUAGUGUCUUCUGGGGUUAUUCCAGAGUCCCUUAGCGUUUCCUUUGUAUACUGUGAGAUUUACAUGGAGGCACAUGCACAUUCAUAUUUACCCUUUUUCUCAGGGAUAGUGCAGUGCUAAGUGGCCUCUGCACAUAUGAUUAAAUAUUAAUUAGGCUUCUAAUAUAAGCAAGUGAGUUUCCAGGCCCGAGUGUCACAUGAAUAAUUUAAGAGGUACCCGAAGGCUCAGCCUGGAAAGCUGAUUGGCCACUUUGGAUUUGUAUAAUUACAAAGUUUCAUUAUUAACAGUGGAAGCAGUGGAGAGAUUUGCCUAGCUUGAGGGACUUUGAAAGCAUAAGCUGUCUCAUUAGAGAAAAGGGAAAUAAGGCAAAAUAUGCAAACUUGUUAGAAAGAAACAGGUGUGGCUGAGAUUUAAGCCCAGCUUUCAAACGUGAGCGUGGUGUGUGUACGCUUUUAAAGUUUGACAAUGAAAUUGAUAUUCUGACCGGUAAGAAUAUUUGCUUAAAAUGUUACUACUAAGAGCAAUGCUUCAAACUUUUAAUUUUAAAUCGAAGGCUUAAGUCUUUAAUAUUUUACCAAAAAAAAAAAAAAAAACCCCACAGGUAGGCUAAUAGGCCCGGUGCAGUGAGAGGUUUGGAGGUAAAAGAAUGCAGACAGUAUAGGGCUCUUGCUUGAAUGUGUGUUGUGCAUGCAAUUAAAUCUCAAGGUCAAACAAUUUACAGACAAUUACUUUUCUAACAUCUCCAGAAAUGCCUGCUUACACGUCUUUAAUUUUAAAUGAUACUGAUAUUCCAAUUCUCCCCAAAGGUUAAUGCUGACUAAAUCCAGCUGUGACCUGACACGAUGCGACAGCACGGUGCCUAAUUAUCCUCUGGAUAGUCAUUUACUUGAAACCAUUAAAGGAAUAGACUGAGAGGAAGAUUUAGGACCCUGAAAAAAUGUUAGCCUGACUUCUUUCUUCUUGAGGAUGGGAUGGGCUGAAAAAUAAAAAUAAAAUCCUGCUAAAUGUUAGCCAUUUGCUUUGAUGGCAGAAAAUUGUUCAUCCCACUCUUGUUUUUUUACAGGUUAAAUUGCUAACUAGUUCAUUUUAUCCAUUGCCUACGGCUGGCGCUAAAUGUCAGUGACAAAUUUUGUACUUGUCUUGAAGAAUGAAUUAAGUUAUGCACAGAAGCUAUAGUGCUCUUUUAAGAUGAGUGAAUUGCAGAAGGAAAAAAAGUUGCUCUUUUGAAAAAGGAUUAUUUUGAUUAAAGGGCUUUUCUAUUGUAGCUGAAGACAGGUAGUGGUUUAAGAUAAUUCAGACACUUACCUCCCACAGAGGCCGCAGUCCUAUACUGAGGAUUUCUCUAAGAGCAAUUGUGUCAGAUUAUACACUGUGAUUAUUAUCAUAAGACCAUUAGCGAUGCUGAAAGAUUACUAAAAAAAUAAAAAUUAAAGUGAAAACACUUAGUUUUCAUCAACUUGAGUUAAAAAAAAAUCUUGAUUUUUUUUCCUCCUAUGGCAUUAGCGUCCCGUUACUGUCUGUAAGCUUUCACAGAGAGGGGCAGGGGAAUUACAGAGUGAAAAACAUAUUCUCCAAAAUGUUGCAAAAGGGAAACCCUAGAGUCUUCAACACAUUUAUAAUAGGAAAAUACGGCCUUGACUUUUAGCCACCUUCAUUCUUCUUGAUUUUUCUUGCUUGGUGGCAGAGGCCUGACUUAUCAUCUUCCACAGAAAGCUAUCAGCAUCCGCUGGUGUCCUAUUUUCCAAUGGUUUAGUCUCACCAGCUUACAUAAGAUGAGAGCUAUGUGUUUUUUUUUUUAUCCCUAUGCUCUCAUUUUCUUGUAGAAUGGAUGCUUUUACUGAAUUGAUGAAGCUUAAUAGGGGUAAUUUUGUCACAUUCUCGUUAUAUUUUAGCAUCCUAUAGACAAAAUGAAUCAAACAGAAUUGCAAUUUUAAGAACAACCUCACUCUAAAGGUAGCAAAGUUAUAUGUGUUCAAAAGGCUGUUCUACCCCCACUUUAAACUGAUGGCUGUUUGUUAGGCCGGGGACAAUGACUUAGCUUUAUAAGCUAGAAGAAUGCGAUUAAUUUGUAUUCUGUUAGUCCAAGAGGCUUAUUUGAUAAGGUAAAAAUAUGUUUUUGGUGAAGGAAUAAUGCAAGACUAUAGUUUGGUUUCAGCAUGCUAAGGCACAAGUAAAGCUGUGUUUAUUAAUUGCACAGCACUCCAGCAUACUGUGAAGAAAUUGUUGAGAACGGCGUUGCCAAGAAAACUAUACUGAUUAGCUUAAAACCUUGUUUAGUUGCUUACUUGCUAUCAGCUCUUUUAAGUCACAUUUAAAUUAGUAAAACGAGUUGUCAGAUCAGCUCUUAACUGAGUUUACAGAUAAGUAUAGGUGUUUGAGCUUCUGUUAUAAUCCACCGUCCAACUUUGGCAAGAGAUGGCUUUUGUGCCUGAAUGGCUUUCUUUUUUACCCCUAAGUCGCCCUCACCACGCGUUCUCUAACUACUGCAAUCCUCUCUUAUACUUAUGAGUGGUGUGAAUGGCCUCUCCCUUGGAGCUGCCAUUAACUUUAUCCUUCCCAGCAAGAGUUCCAGUAUGAUGAUGUAGCCCAAAAUGUUGAGGAAGCCACCCAAGUAAUAGAAAAAAAAGUUCUUUUACAUGUUACUCAGGACGUGUGUAUGUGUAUGUGUAUGUGUUUGUGUGUGUGUGUGUGUGUGUGUGUGUGUCUAUGUGUGCACACAUGCACACCUGCUGAAAUGAACUAGAAUUUUAUCUAGAAAAAUAAUUCUUAUGUGCUUUCCUGAGUAUGGGCUUCCACAGUCUUCUAGCAAAUUCUGCAAGAACCCUCUGCUCGAUCACGUGUGUGUGUGUGUGUGUGUGUGUGUGUGUGUGUGUGUGUGUGUGUGCCGUAUUUACCUUGUUGGAGUAGAGUUCACUAAUUUUGCGACAGUGAGGUUUGGAUAGUACCUGAGUUCCUUUCUUUCUUUAAAAUAUUUUAUGGCCCAUAUAAUUUAAACAGCAAGCAGACAGGGUAAAUGUUAUUUAGUUUUUAAUAAAUAUUUGUGUGAUGAGUGCUUUCCGCAUCGAUUCGUAUUCAUACUGCUCCCACUGUGACUUGUUGACAUUAACAAGGUACUAGAAUGAUCGGAGAAGGAACAUUGUUUUCCCUGACGGAAAUCAUCUGCACCGUCUUUAUGCAAGUGGAUGAGACCCGGUUCUAGAAGAUAUUUGAUAGUUCAAGAGCACAAAUACUUGUCCAGACAGCUUUUUAUAGGUGAUAUGAUAAAGGAAAUAGAGAAGGUGAGUCAGAUCCCUAAAUGUGGCCUUCCUAUGCAGACAUACUAGAGCUGUCUGAACCAAACCUAUAUGUUAUCAUUGUUGCUCCAAGACCUUGCAAUCCUGAUUGCCAUAAAUAAUCAUUAUGAAUUCUAUUAGACAAAAUGAAACAAGAAAUGAACCUCCUUCUCUUGUCUAAAAUCAUAGCUGUUUGCUUACUUGUUCCCAUUUCAGAGGACCCAAGCAAUGAUAUCUCAAAAUGCGGAAGUCAUGCAGAAUAUGCAGUCUUGAUUGCCCAACUUUGAUCUCUGUGUUCAACUCUGAUACCCGUUUUUCUUAUUUAUGACAUGGUAUUUUGGACAAAGCCAAAUAUCAUUUUUUGAGGCUUAGAUAGCUUUUUAAGGGAUGCUCAACGAGAAGAGACAAAUGAACCUAGGUGUUUUCUAUCCACUUCCUAGUUAUGUUAUUAUUUAUGCUUGGGAAACUGAGACUGACUUAAGAACGUAGACAUAUAGCUUCAGACAGACCCAAGAGAAAAACCAUGUGUGUUGUAGAACAGACCAGUUACUGGUUAUUUUCUUCAUAAUACCAGAGAAAAUGAUAGCAGGAAUCAUCUUUUUUUUACAUUGUUUGACUGUUAAUGACAUUUCUUGUGGGCCCACUUAUGCACUGCAAGAGAGACUUUGCAGAUGAGAGCUCUGUUGUUCUGGGUUACAUGGUGUGCACUACACAAGGGGAUCUGCUGUUGCUGUGUCACUGCCUUCUUGCCUUCACAGGUUAAAGAAAAUGCGUGAGUAUCUGGAGUGAGUGUUUGUGCGUGUUUUCCUUACGAGAGUCUGGCUGUUGAAAGAUUUCGCUGUGCACAUGGGGACAGGCAUCUGCCCAUCAGAUGCCUGUGAUCAUCACUGUGAAUGAGGUCACUGAGAACUUGUAGAAAUAUUGCUUAGCAUCCUGAUUUUAUUUGCUGUGGGAGACAAGUUGGCACGUUACUUCUUUUGCUUUUUUUUUUUACUUGCAAAAACAAAACCCCUUAGUAAGUGCUACAGAAAUUCAUAUUAACUUCGUUUUGGAUGCCGUCUUCCAAGGCCUUCCUGGGAUCUGAUUUAUGCCGAUGCUGUGGGCACUACAGACACAAUAUGUUGCCAUGCUCUUGCUCCUUGCCACCCCACUUCCCUUUCUAUCCUAGUAAAUCCUUUGAAGGUUUUAUUAUUCAGGGUGGGAAGAUUGAAGUGAAAGCUACAGAAUGAUUUAACACUGUGGGAACUUAAUCAAUAAGAGUGUUGUGAGAGCUCCCAGGAAAGGGUGUUGGUUUCCAUCCAGAUGAUAAUGAGGCCUGGUGGUAGCAACCUCUGGAGGGGAGUGCUGGGGCAGCGAUUCUUUGGUGGUGCUUUUGCUGGUUGCUAAUUAAUAGUUUUGAGGCCAGUGGGGCACCUUUUGGCCUUUCUGACAUUUGCAAGCUUUUCUGUGGCUUGUCCCACAUGUCUUUUCCACCAUCAGGGGUCACUCUCAACUGGAUUGGAGUCUGACAAGUCUAAUUGGCUCGAAUCUAUGCAGAUUUAAACAUCUAGCCUACAUGCCAAAAAUCUGAUGUUUUCUCAUGCUGCUUCUGAGUUCCGGGCAUUAUGGGAUCGGUGCAUGCCUGAGUUAUUAUGUAUCAGCUUACCCUCCUGUUAGCAUGUUAAAGAGCAAUUAGCUGGAUGUGCUGUAGGAAGUAGGGGAAAGGGAUUCAGUGCAGUUGAGUUGUAAAUGUCUUUUAUACUAAAAAACCUGUCAGACCAUUGAGCAUUCCUGGUUGGAAAGCAGAUUGAAUCGUAUAGUCAAAUUUUUUUAAAGAGUGAAUAAUUUCCCGAGAGUUGGUUUUAAAAAAAAAAUGAAAAGAUCCUUGCUGUGCAAACACACAGCUAUGGUGUAAUGUAAAUCACCCAAACACCCCUGCUUUCCUCGCUUUGUCCCCACUUCCUCCCCCAGUUGCACAUCUCGCUCAAAUUCUAAACUUUUACUGAUUAAAAACCUCUGACUUCUUUCUGUUUAGUGGCGACUUGUAGAUGAAUUUUCUGAUAGAUGGUGCUUCCCAUCUCUGAUAGAUUACAGGAUUCUGAAUAAGUGGCAGUGUAUGGAGCCUGAUGCACUUACAGCCAACCAAGUCAUAUGAAUAAGGCAAUAAAUUUGUACUUUUAUUGGAAAUAAUUUAUUCUAAUUGACCACCAUCACAUAUGCAAAAUAGUAUAGUAACUAGGCAGAAACAUUGCUUAAUAGAUUGCAAAAUAUUUUGUCUAGCUUAAUGUUCCUAAUAAUUUUGAUCAUAUGGUAGGUUAGGGUAGGCUCAUAUCUUUAAAUUUAUACAUAUAGGCUUUAAGAAAUAGAUGCCUUGUCCAACACGGUUGUACCACUGAGACUAUCACAUUUCCAUUCUAAAAUGCAUUUUAACAUCGUGCAUGAAAAUGCAUUUUUUCUGUACAAUACUUCAUAAAAUCUUUUUGACUGUAGGGUUCCUUGUAAUUAAAAAACUGUGUUGAUAUAACUUUCAACCAUUCAAUAGGUUUAUCGAAGAUUACCAUAAAAUGAUGAAUAAACUUGCCUGUGUAAUUUGAAGAGUUUUAAAGUAAAAGCUACAAUGGAACUAUUUCCACAUUAAAAGGACCAAGUGCUAAAGGAUUUUAGAGACUGCGUGAGCAUCAUUUGAUUUCUGUUUUCUGAGUUUGAUGUGUUAUCUUUGGUAACUCACCUGCAGCCAUGAACUUUUUUGAUAUGUGCAAACGCGUAUUAAUUAUUAAAACCUUACCUUUUGAGAGGUUGGUAUAUAAAAGCAUCUCUAAUGUGAAUAAUUUAAAGUUUCAAUUCAGUGUGAUUUUUAGCACUUUCCCUCCUCAAACAACCUGAAAAAUCUGAGGGUUAAUUUUUUCCUUUUAUCUGGAAAAAUUCUUGAUGUUUCAGAGUAACAGAGGUCUUUUCUGUCUCUCUAUAGCUUAUGAGUAUCAUAAAGUUUUGGAAAGAAUAAUGUAAGGUACAAUGAGGCAUAGCUUCAGAUAGAAUGCAUACAGUAUGGCGACUUCAUAGUAUAUUAAGAAUUCUCUGGUAAAAUUGUUUAUAUGAAAUAUGGUGGAACUGCAGCUUUUCUUGUUUUCAACUUCUACAAUGUUAGAUACCCACGGAAUAAAAACAUGGACUUUAAGAUCAAUUAAAAGAGAGCUUAGAUUUCAAUUCCUUUACGUCUGCAUUGUUUAAUUUUUUUAACUGUUUAUCCAAGGCAACUAAUUUGAGGAUUAAUAAUACAUAUAGAAAUCAAAAAAAUUUUCUGUACCAAUACCUUGCUGUCUUGCAUGGAAAUAUUUAUUUAGAUGUUGUGUGGCUUUCAUAAUUUUCAUAAGAUGUAUGACAUUAUUAAACAUUAAUUUGAGCAAAUCAACACUUUAAAGAAAUGGCUUAAAUAAACUAUUACCAGAUUAAGUAAAAGUUGAGGCAAUUUGUAGUUCCAAAAGGGGAAAAGAAUUCCAGCUUUAAACAUAGUCACUAUUUGUUCCACCAGAUGAACAGGGAUCCUAAUUAGGGUGAGUGCAGGUUACCCUUGUCCUGCUUUGAUAUUACUGCUUGCUGUAGUUUUCAUGUGAGUAUAUUAACUGAACGUACAACUUCUGUUCUAUUUGCCAAAACAUUUUUAAUAGAAAUAAGUUACCAGACGAAAAUGGAACUGGACAUUGAUUAGUUAUGUCAUUUAGGUCAAAUGAUCCACUUCUCCUGAAGUCAAGUUUCUUAGUAAAAAAGUAGAAACUGUGUCCUUUCAUUAUAUAAUACUUGCAUUGUCCCGUAACGUUCACAGAUAAUCUUUUAGCACAUUUGAAGAGAAAUCUCACUAUUAGUGACACUCCCAGAAAAUUUCCUCCAAACUAACCAACCAUCAGCAUACCAACCAUCAGUAUACCAACCAACCACUUCACAACCCAGCCCUCUAGCCAGUCAGCAGCCAACUGACCACCCUCCACAAAGCAAAUACAGACACAUCACUCAAGGUGAUUUCAAGACUUUACAGACUAUAACGCCUUGAGUUAUAGACCUUGAUUUAAAUACUGGCUUAGUCCCCCCCACCCCCACCUCCCGGAGCUGGGGACCGAACCCAGGGCCUUGGGCUUCCUAGGCAAGUGCUCUACCACUGAGCUAAAUCCUCAACCCCUGGCUUAGUUCUUUUACUAAAUAUUAUUUCUUAGGAAAUUAUAUUGGAAAAUAAAUUUCUGUGGUGGUUUGGUUUUCACCUCAAAGAAGAGAGAGAGAGAGAGAAAGAGAGGAGAGAGAGAGAGAGAGAGA